rnacentral:lncRNA from 10 species
CGGUUCUCUUGAGCAGAGAACUUUAAAGGGAUCAUUAUCUGCUUGUAAGGAAUGGAGGUCAGCAUGCCUGAAAACAGGAGUUGUGCAGAUAACCUUGCCAUAUUUAGAAUUCUAUGCCUGGAAACAGCCUCCUGGGAAGAAUUAAAGGCGGAACAAUGUUCCGUCUCCGGAGGGAUCUGUACUUGGAAAGAGAACUCAGAGAGCACGUGGUGGCCGGCCCCAUCUGCAGACCCAAAACUAGAGAGUCCACGUUUGCGAACCCAUCUGCACUUUCGACUUUCCCUGAUCACUACGUGUCUGGCUGCUCUCAGACUGCGAUGACAUCAUUUAAAAAAAAUGUAAAUAACUGUCCUUUGGGUCUUUCAAGAACCUAGUGAUUGAGGAGAGGGCAACGGUGAAUCUCGAGGAAGGCUGUGUCGUGGGACCUUCAGGCAUUGUUUAAUCUGUGCAGGGCGCAGUCUUGGGCAGGCCCCAGCCCUCUCCUCUGCCCACUCGCAAAGCCCGGCCUGCUUGCUCCACCGGCAACUGGGCUGGAGGAGAGGCGAGGGGCAGGGUGGGUGCUAAGAUCCUGUGCGAAAAGCCAGGACCCUCGUGGUACCUAGGGAAAUGAAAAUCGCGUUGACAGUAGUCCAACGCUUUCCUUUUCUCAUUCACCCCUCGGGCAGCACAACGAGACAGGCA